UUCUGGUUCUCUGGCUCUCCUAGACCUUUGUUACCCAAGGAAGUUCCGUUCUAUUCCCAGAACCAUCUCUCUUCCCAGUCUCUCAAACUGAACGGUAACUGUUAUGUAAUGUACAACCCACUGUGCUCACAGCCGGGUACAGGGGCUCGGAACCCAGGAGAGACAGCUAAGAUGCAGUUUCCUCAUCUGUGAAAUGGGAACAACGUCACUGAGGUGCUGACUUUGCAAGACACGAGGCCGGCGUCCAGGACAGGACAGAAGCACAGUGAAGCUCCAAGAUGCAGAGGAAGAACCUAGUAUCCAGCUUUUCUAGCUCAGUGUCCAGGGCAGGAGGAAGAGGCUGCAGGCAGAACCCGUGGCGGGACCUCAGCGUGGACCUGGCCGUCCUUGCACUGUUGAGUCUCCCAGGGCGCCAUGCCUGCCUGGUGGGCCGGAGGGCGAGGCUCCUUCAAGGUACACAUUUACAAACUACAAAUGGAUGCCCUCAGGCUCUUUAUUAUAUUUUGUUUACUGUGUUUUUGAGGCCAGGGCAAAAAUUAGAUGUGAUCUUACGGCUUUUCUACCCAAGUUUUUAAAUGUCCUUUCCUGGGUGUGAAGGAAGGAACUGGAUGGCCUGGAGGACGAGCCAGGAUACGACACAACCUGGAGAACUGGCUCAGGAGGACUUGCCCACGCCCUGAACAAGCGGAAAACCCAGGGAAGAACCGUCUCAUCGUUUUCAAACCCUCCUAUUCUUGGGAAAGCUUUUCUCUCUCCAGAGAGCUGUGAUGACUUUGCCUUUGUGAUUCCAAAGGCAGAAUCCCUUCAAGCUGAAACCCCAUGUGCACUGCGCUUCAGCUAGGGUUCCGGGGGUGGGGGCGGGGGAGAGCGGGCUGCUGCUGCGUUUGCCCUGAGCAGGAUGGAAGCCACGACCUUCCCGUGGGGGUGACAUUUCAGGCUCCAGGCAGCCGGGGCCCCAGCACUGUCCCUGUCUGCCUCCCCCUUCUCUCCGUGAGGGUUCAGCCCUGAUGGAAGGCUGUGAGCUCUAAGAGGCCCAGGGCACCGAGCACACUAGGGGCUGGGGGCUCGGGAGGCCAGGAGGCCAGGGAGGCCUGGGGGUCCCACAGCGACCCGGAGAGGUCCCUGGAUCCGCUUAUGCUUCCGGAACCUGGUUAUCCUUAAGUCCUGCUGCCACCUGAGUGACAGACCCCCUCAGCCUGUGCUGCACGCAGGUGAUAAAUGAUCUCCGGGAUGCACCGCACCAGACAAAGCUGCGCCUCCCCGGAAGUGAUGGGCGUCUACGCGGCCAGCAUCAGGGAGGUUGUGACACGGGGAGCCUGGGCGGUGGCCUCGGGAGGGUGGCACGGCUCCGGGUGACUGCGCCCCCUGCCUGGGCGCUCCCUCCCACCACCCGCUGCCCCUUACGGCCAGUUCAGGUGACCGACCCCCUCCGGUUCCCUGAGCCGCUCAAGGAUUUAAUCUCAACACAGCAUCUUCCCUCAGCGCUGCUGGUUUCCUCCACGGGCGAGUGAG